AUGACUCGAGGAGAAUUUGAUUUGAUUUUGAAUCACAUCAAAGCUGAUCUGGUCACGACGGCGACGAACAAGCACCCGAAGCCAAUUUCUCCCGAGGAGAAGUUUGCGCUGACUUUGAGCUCUUCUGGUGGUGGUGAACGGAGAGAGGCAAUUAUGUUAUCCCGCUCUUUGUCACCUUUUUUAAUCUCUAAUAAGAUUUGCUCAGCGACAGUGAGCUUUUUCUUUUUCUUCUGACCUGGGGCUGGCAGAACUGUGUUGCUCUUGCUUGUAGUACCUGACGAUGGUGGUGGUGUUGAGUUUUGCUCGUUCUUAUCGUUGGACAGAUUCGCCGAGUUUCCUGUACCAUCGCCACCCUCGCCCGCGGGCUCAUCUGGGUCCUCUUCAUCAGUAUCUGCAAGGCUGAGGUCAUUAUUACUGCUAACUUCCUCCCUCUCUAUAUGUUGCGUCGCAUUCUUUUCAACUGGAGGGUCGAAGUUUGUGUCAUAGUCUUCUUCAGUGACGCAUGACCUGUCGUUUGAUAACGUGCUGAAAAUAGAAAUUUAGAAAAUAAUUAAAAUCUACGAACCAAAUAGGCUGUUCAUGAAUUACGCACAGCACUUAAAAGGGAGAGAUGGUCACAAGGUUUUGCCCUCUUUAAAAUGUCUGGAAGGAAGGAGAUAGCGGAUAUUACGUGGAGAUAGAGGGUGUGAAAAAGUAGGGAAAUUACCUCAAGAGCUUGGAGGUUAGGACCUGGGUGGCUGCUACAACGUUAUAAGUUUUUCAGAAGUUUUUAUGUAUCCGGUUCGGAGGACCAUGAAGAACACCAAUAAAAAUAAACUCACUUUGAAGAAAGGAUAAAGGUUCUUUUUUUCUUUCAGGAAGAUAAGGGUUUACAAGAAAUCUCAAAAAACAGGGAUUAGGACAGAACGAAACUUUUUCUCUGCAUCUUCGACUGCAAAAACUAAACCAAAUCUAUUCAUACACAACCAUGGCAACCCCUCCUACCGUGGCCCAGACCGUUCCAGCUGAUAAGUCUUAAUGGCGGGAACAAGGACCGAUGAAAGUUCUAUUCAGGUUGACAAAUCGGGUGCGAAUAUCAUCUCUUGAAGCCUUGACGUUAAAUGGGAUGAGGCGCGCAAAGGAACCUUUGUACUCAAUCUCUACGAUCUUCCGUCGAAAAAAAACACUAUUCAACGCCACUAAACACUUCAAUCAGUAGCGGAAACAUAUUCAUGAGUUUCCAAAAUCAUGUUUUUAUUGUCCCAGUUGUUGUAGGGCAUCUUCACGGUCUUUAAUUACGUAAGCCACGAAAUGACAAAAAGUAGUCUCGGGAUUCCGACUACGCUUUUCCACGUGAUAGAUAUCGAACAGAUGCGCAAUGACUUCAGUUGGUAAUUCG
rnacentral:lncRNA from 1 species